GACGAACCGUGCGAACGUUGUUCGGAAUCACUGGGCUUAAAGGGCGCGUAGGCGGGCUCACAAGUCAGGGGUGAAAUCCCACGGCUCAACCGUGGAAGUGCCUUUGAUACUGUGGGUCUUGAGGGAGGUAGGGGCGUGCGGAACUUCCGGUGGAGCGGUGAAAUGCGUAGAUAUCGGAAGGAACACCGGUGGCGAAAGCGAUCCGCUGGACCUCUUCUGACACUGAGGCGCGAAAGCCAGGGGAGCAAACGGG
rnacentral:rRNA from 1 species